GGAAAAAACACAUGAAAACAGGAAUAUUGAAGGACAUGAACUUCUUCCCAGUCUAAGAAGGCAAAAGAACUAUCUAAAGCAGGCCUCACUCAUAGGUGUGCACAACUCCAGAACAAGGGUGUAUUGAGGGGCAGCUGCUUGGUGGGCACGGAGAUUGGACAUGCAUGUUGGCCUAAUCACAUUUGUCCUCCCAGCCUGUCACACUGGGCAAGAACAGGAGCGGAAGAGAAAGGUAGGCCUCUUCAUCCCAUCUUCACUUGUGUCCUCAACCUACUGAUGACAAGGAUAUCUGCUGACCUAACUAGACACUUGUUCGCUUGUUUUGGCUAUAUUUAG
rnacentral:lncRNA from 1 species